UUCUAUACAUUUUAUCCAAUAUAUAUAGCCAGAAUUUGUGUAUAUCAUAAAAAACACUGUAUAUUAUAUGAAUAUUUCUUAUCAUAUUUGAAGAAUUAAAGCAACAACAUUUCAAAAAUCACGAGGAUGGCCAUUUCAAUUCCUUCUUAUUUUCUUCUACUUCACAUAUUUGUAUCACUUGGCAUGGGAGAUAGCAAUUUGACUCAUUUGGAGAUGGCUAGAGGAAAUUUGACACAAUUGGAUUAUAAUUAUAGAUGUUCUGGGAAUUUAGGUACAUGCAACACUGACUAUUGUGAUGAAGAUUGUUGCAUUAAAACAUGCAAUAAUUAUUAUAGUGAACUUAAUCCAGAACCAAUAUGCACUGAAUUUCCUGGAUUUUAUCCAUACAAGUUUUGUAUUUGUUGGCAUGAUUGUUAUUGAUAUAAAAUAUAAUAUAUUUUAAUACAAUUAUAUUACAUUAACGA